GUACUUACUCCUACGGGAGGCAGCAGUGGGGAAUUUUGGACAAUGGGCGAAAGCCUGAUCCAGCAAUGCCGCGUGCAGGAUGAAGGCCUUCGGGUUGUAAACUGCUUUUGUACGGAACGAAAAAGCUUCUCCUAAUACGAGAGGCCCAUGACGGUACCGUAAGAAUAAGCACCGGCUAACUACGUGCCAGCAGCCGCGGUAAUACGUAGGGUGCGAGCGUUAAUCGGAAUUACUGGGCGUAAAGCGUGCGCAGGCGGUUAUGUAAGACAGAUGUGAAAUCCCCGGGCUCAACCUGGGAACUGCAUUUGUGACUGCAUGGCUAGAGUACGGUAGAGGGGGAUGGAAUUCCGCGUGUAGCAGUGAAAUGCGUAGAUAUGCGGAGGAACACCGAUGGCGAAGGCAAUCCCCUGGACCUGUACUGACGCUCAUGCACGAAAGCGUGGGGAGCAAACAGGAUUAGAUACCCCAGUAGUCCAGGCAU
rnacentral:rRNA from 1 species